AUUGAACGCUGGCGGCAGGCCUAACACAUGCAAGUCGAACGGGUGGCGGACGGGUGAGCAAUGUCUGGGAAACUGCCUGAUGGAGGGGGAUAACUAAUGGGAACUGUUACUAAUACCGCCUACCAGCAGAUGUGCCCAGUUGGGAUGAGCUUGUUGGUGGGGGAAAGGCUCACCAAGGCGACGAUCCCUAGCUGGUCUGAGAGGAUGACCAGGCACACUGGAACUGAGACACGGUCCAGACUCCUACGGGAGGCAGCAGUGGGGAAUAUUGCACAAUGGGCGCAAGCCUGAUGCAGCCAUGCCGCGUGUGUGAAGAAGGUCUUCGGGUUGUAAAGUACUUUCAGCGGGGAGGCGUUACCCGCAGAAGAAGCACCGGCUAACUCCGUGCCAGCAGCCGCGGUAAUAC
rnacentral:rRNA from 1 species